UCCCUGGUAGUAUAUCGGAUAGUACACGCGCCUGUCAAUAUUGCCGGACGCGCGAGAGCGGGGUUCGACUCCCCGCCAGGGAG
rnacentral:tRNA from 1 species